GACGAACGCUGGCGGCGUGCUUAACACAUGCAAGUCGAACGGAAAGGCCCUGCUUUUGUGGGGUGCUCGAGUGGCGAACGGGUGAGUAACACGUGAGUAACCUGCCCUUGACUUUGGGAUAACUUCAGGAAACUGGGGCUAAUACCGGAUAGGAGCUCCUGCUGCAUGGUGGGGGUUGGAAAGUUUCGGCGGUUGGGGAUGGACUCGCGGCUUAUCAGCUUGUUGGUGGGGUAGUGGCUUACCAAGGCUUUGACGGGUAGCCGGCCUGAGAGGGUGACCGGCCACAAUGGGACUGAGAUACGGCCCAGACUGCUACGGGAGGCAGCAGUGGGGAAUAUUGCACAAUGGGCGGAAGCCUGAUGCAGCAACGCCGCGUGCGGGAUGACGGCCUUCGGGUUGUAAACCGCUUUCGCCUGUGACGAAGCGUGAGUGACGGUAAUGGGUAAAGAAGCACCGGCUAACUACGUG
rnacentral:rRNA from 1 species